GGGGGACCUGCGGAAGGAUCAUUAGUGAAUUGCUCUUUGAGCGUUAACUACAUCCAUCUACACCUGUGAACUGUUGAUCAACUUCGGUUGAUUGCUUUACAAACAUUGUGUAAUGAACGUCAUGUUAUUAUAACAAAAAUAACUUUCAACAACGGAUCUCUUGGCUCUCGCAUCGAUGAAGAACGCAGCGAAAUGCGAUAAGUAAUGUGAAUUGCAGAAUUCAGUGAAUCAUCGAAUCUUUGAACGCAACUUGCGCUCUCUGGUAUUCCGGAGAGCAUGCCUGUUUGAGUAUCAUGAAAUCUCAACCAUUAGGGUUUCUUAAUGGCUUGGAUUUGGGCGUUGCCAGUAGCCUGGCUCGCCUUAAAAGAGUUAGCGUGUUUAACUUGUCGUAUCUGGCGUAAUAAGUUUCGCUGGAGUAGACUUGAGAAGUGCGCUUCUAAUCGUCUUCGGACAAUUCUUGAACUCUGGUCUCAAAUCAGGUAGGACUACCCGCUGAACUUAAGCAUAUCAUAGGCG
rnacentral:misc_RNA from 1 species